AGGGAGGCAAGGCCGCGAGGUGGAGCGAAUCCCUAAAAGCCGUCCCAGUUCGGAUUGCAGGCUGCAACCCGCCUGCAUGAAGUUGGAAUCGCUAGUAAUCGCGGAUCAGCAUGCCGCGGUGAAUACGUCCCGGGCCUUGUACACACCGCCCGUCACACCAUGAGAGUCGGGGACACCCGAAGUCCGUAGUCUAACCGCAAGGAGGACGCCGCCUAAGGUGGGAUUGAUGACUGGGGUGAAGUCGUAACAAGGUACC
rnacentral:rRNA from 1 species